rnacentral:rRNA from 1 species
GACGAACGCUGGCGGCGUGCUUAACACAUGCAAGUCGAACGAAGUGGCGAACGGGUGAGUAACGCGUAAUCAACCUGCCCUUCAGAGGGGGACAACAGUUGGAAACGACUGCUAAUACCGCAUACUGAAGGAGGGGAUUGCGUCUGAUGAGCUAGGUGGAGGGGUAACGGCCCACCAAGGCGAUGAUUAGUAGCCGGUCUUGAGGGUUGGAUGGCCACAAUGGGACUGGGGAACGGCCCAGGAUCCUACGGGAAGCAGCAGUGGGGGAACUUCCGAAAUGGACGAAAGGCUGGCGGAACAACGGCGCGUGAGUGAUGGCGGGCUUCGGGUUGUAAAGCUCUGUUAAGCGGGAAGCGGUACCGGAAUAGAAAGCCACGGCUAACUACGUGCCAGCAGCCGCGGUAAUAC